rnacentral:snRNA from 1 species
GUACUUACCUGGCAGGGAAGAUACCCUGAUCAUGAAGGUGAUUUUCCCAGGGUGAGUCUCACCCAUUGCGCUCUGGGUAUGCUGACCCCUGCAAUUUCCCCAAAUGUGAGAAACUUGAUUACAUAAUUUGUGGUAUUGGGGAACACUUG